rnacentral:lncRNA from 1 species
CCCUGCUAUAAUUGGCUCACGACCCUGCCGCUCACACGUCGGUGUCCCGCCCCGCCCCUCACCGGGGCGGGACGGAGCGCCCCCUUGCGGCGGUGGCGAUGCCGCUGAUGCCGGGUCCUCGCGGGGGUCGGGCCGCGCUCGGGCCUCGCCGGGAAGGGCUCGGCCGUGUACGGGGCACCGCCGCGGGCUCCGCCGGGCCCGGGGGGCCGCUGUCCAACGGCUCUGAGCCGCGGCUGAGCCAUUCGGGUCCGCAGGCCGCGCGGGUCCUUACAGGUUGUCCGUGCGGCCUGCGAGGCUGCGGCCCCUCAGCCGAGGCCAGAGUGGGACCACGGGGGUGACCCGGCACCGCUGUCCCCUCCCUGCUGCCCGUCUCAGGUCCAGCCCGGCCCCUCUCGGAGCUGAGCCCCCGUGGCAGUGGCACACGGGGUGUUCGUGGCUCCCCAGCCCGCCUGGGGCCGGCGGUGCGGAGGCGGCUCCACCGUCUGUCGGCAGCCUGCGGAAGGGUUGUGUGAGGCUUUGCCUUUGUGGGAUCCGGGCUGUGGGUGGGAGCUCUGGAGGGGGUGCUCCAGGUACCGCUGGCAGAGCCCAGCAGGAAGGAUGUAGCAUUGGCAGAGGGGCAAAAUGAGGUUGCAGGUGUCUGAAAAAGAAGAGAGCAAAGAGAUUUUUGUAGAAUUAGAUUGGAUAUCGGGAAGCAGUUCUUGGCUGUAAGGGUGGUUGAAGCCCUGGCACAGGUUGCCCAGAGAAGCUGUGGCUGCCCCAUCCCUGAAGUUAUUCAGGCCACAUUGCACGGAGCUUGGAGCAAGCUGGUCAAGUAGAAGGAAGGAAAUGGAAGUUUCUUUUCAAGAGACUGUUCCCUGGGCAAGACCUGAUGAGCUUAACAUCUCAAGGGACUGGGAGGGACCAGAGGAUGCACGAGAGUGACAGGAUGAGCUUUAAGUUUCUUCCAACCCAAACCAUUCUGGGAUUCUCUCAACCUGGUGAGUUGAUGACUCCUGUAAUUUUGACCAGGACUACCAUCCUAUUCCAGAGGCGAAUUUCUCACUUGGAACAUUUCUGCAAUACUGGGAGAAAUUACUUUUUUUUUUUUUUUGUGAAGGGACUGAAAACUGAAUCCCCAGGUACAGCAAAUGGGCUGUGCUGGGGUUGUGCCAGCUGGGUUCCUGCAUCCUUAAAAGCAGAUCGUAACAAAUCAAUGACUUUGCUCCGGGUGGGGAGGAACUGUGCAAAGCACUGCUGGGAUGAUGGGGCAAUCUGGAAAUAGCUUUUUAGCAUGUGGGCUGUCAGGAGCUCUUGUAUAAGCAAUUCUCCCAGCAUAUCUCUCUAUUGUGGCUUUUCAGCUGAAAUGAUUGUCACACCAGGACCUUCCUGGAGCUGCCCAGCAGGGUGUGUGACAGGCUGUUUGCAUCACAGGCCUUCCCAGUCCCUGUGCAUUGGAUAUCAAAUCCCAGCUGAUGGGAAAUGGCCUGCAUAGAGCAGCAAGGCCAUUCCUCCCACUGUGGCUUGUCUCAACUGCCUGUCUGCAUUAUCCUUAAUGUACUUUCUGGAAACCUGCCUCCUACCUUGGGGCUGCUCCCAGAGGAGGUUUAAUGGGUUUGAUUCAUCCACUGUUGCAGCAAGAUGAUUAAUAAUUGAAGAAAUUACAUCUUUCCUGAGUAGAGAUGGAGGAAAGGAGGAGCAAAGGAGAGCACUGGACAAAGGACAGCAGUAUCCUUGUGACCUCUCCCACCCUCCACCUCGCUCAGAACAUCCUGCUCCUGGAGCCCAUGGCAAGGGACCACUAGGCUGAGGCCUGGUGCAGCUACACCCUCCUCCUGAAGAGCAGAGCCACAUCCUCUUCUUCCCUAGCCAGGGCUCAGUGCUCUCUCUGGGACCUGGGCAGGAGCAGAGUGUGGAGCAGUGGUUAGCUGACAAGGGUCACUCCCUGAUACAGCUGGCUGACCAAGGGUGUGAAGGAUAACAAACUUAGCUCUCAGCCUCCGUCUAAAGCAGAGAUAGAGUGUCCUAGGGGUGCAGCUGUUUAGACAAUAAUGGCAUACAAGACAGGAGCAGGAAUGUGAAAAAGUCCCAGCCGAAUAAACCGCAAUAAUGCAGACCUAGGCGUGUUUGACCUUUAACCAUGUAACCAAUCAUGAGCUUACUUUUGCACUAUGCAUGAGUUUCAUUAACACUAGUAUAAAAACAUGUAUCGAUAAUCAAUAAAUGAGACUUGCUG